rnacentral:rRNA from 1 species
GAGGAAGUAAAAGUCGUAACAAGGUUUCCGUAGGUGAACCUGCGGAAGGAUCAUUAUUGAAAUUUUGAAGAGGGGGGCAUUACUAGGUUGUGCUGGCCUUUACCUGGGCAUCGUGCACGCCGAACGGUCUCCCUUUUUAACUCUUCUAUUCACACCUGUGCACCUUUGCUAGGUCUUUCGAGACCUAGAGUUCUUUACGAACACCUUUAUGGGUUUUUACUAUUGUCAGCCGCUUCUUUUCAGAGGUUGGUGGGCAAAAAUAAUAUUACAACUUUCAGCAACGGAUCUCUUGGCUCUCGCAUCGAUGAAGAACGCAGCGAAUUGCGAUAUGUAAUGUGAAUUGCAGAUUUUCAGUGAAUCAUCGAAUCUUUGAACGCACCUUGCGCUCCUUGGUAUUCCGAGGAGCAUGCCUGUUUGAGUGUCAUUAAAUUCUCAACCCCAUGCGAUUUGUUUCGUGUGUGUGGCUUUGGACAGUGGAGGUUUUUGCUGGACCCAUUUUUCUUGGGUUCAGCUCCUCUGAAAUACAUUGGCGAAAGCAUGUUGUGCGACCAGUGUCUCGGUGUGAUAAUGAUCAUCGUGGCAUGAAAGUGCAAUGUUUAAAAGUGCUUGUGCCUAUAGUCGUCCCUUGACAGGACAAUAUAUUUUGAACCUUUGACCUCAAAUCAGGUA